CCUCCCGGCGUGCGGCCCGCCAACCCGCUCCCAUUGUAAACCCAGACAGUCAUCCACACGGUGCAGAGCGCCCCUGGACAGAUGUUCUCUACUCCCGCCCUCCCACCUAUGAUGUACCCCCACCCCGCCUAUCCAAUGCCUUUUGUCACCACCAUUCCGGGAGGACUGUAUCCAUCCAAGUCCAUCAUCCUGUCGGGCACUGUCCUGCCCAGUGCUCAGAGGUAAGGUUUCCACAUCAACCUGUGCUCUGGGAGCCACAUCGCCUUCCACCUGAAACCCCCGUUUGAUGAGAACGCUGUGGUCCGCAACACCCAGAUCAACAACUGUUGGGGGUCUGAGGAGCGAAGUCUGCCCCGAAAAUAUCGUAGUGCAAACGGCAUGAUCUCUGCACAGGUGUGGAUCUUGUGUGACACGCACUGCCUCAAGGUGGCCGUAGAUGGUCAGCACCUGUUUGAAUAUUACCAUCGCCUGAGGAACCUGCCCGCCAUCAACAAACUGGAAGUGGGGGGCGACAUCCAGCUGACCCACGUGCAGACAUAGGCGGCUCCCUGGCCCUGGGGCCGGGGCUGGGGUGGGGGGCAGUCUGGGUCUUCUCAUCAUCCUCACGUCCCAGGCCCAGCCUUUCCAACGCUGCCUGGGAUCUGGGCUUUAAUGCAGAGGCCAUGUCCUCGUCUGGUCCUGCUUCUGGCUACGGCCACCCUGGAACGGAGAAGGCAGCUGACCGGGAUUGCCUUCCUCAGCCGCGGCAGCACCUGGGGCUCCAGCUGCCCAAAUCCUACCAUCCCAGGAGGCAGGCACAGCCAGGGAGAGGGAGGAGUGGGCAGUGAAGAUGAGGCCCAUGCUCAGUCCCCUCCCAUCCCCCACGCGGCUCCACCCCAGUCCCAAGCCACCAGCUGUCUACUCCUGGUGGGAGGUGGCCUCCUCAGCCCCUCCUCUCUGACCUUUAACCUCACUGUCACCUUGCACCCUGCACCAACCCUUCACCCCCUCCUGGAAAGCAGGCCUGAUGGCAUCCCACUGGCCUCCACCAACUGACCAGAGUGUUCUCUUCAGGGACUGGCUCCUUUCCCAGUGUCCUUAAAAUAAAGAAAUGAAAAUGCUUGUUGGC